UAAAACCAAUUUAAUGCUUGCUACUUG
rnacentral:sRNA from 1 species